AGCAGCCGCGGUAAUUCCAGCUCCAAUAGCGUAUACUAAAGUUGCUGCAGUUAAAAAGCUCGUAGUUGAAUUUCGGGACCGAUAUAUCGGUCGUGCCUCGGUACGUACUGGUAUUUUCGGUUUCUCCCUUCUGAUGAACCUUGAUGUCAUUAAUUUGGUGUCUUGGGGAAUCAGGACUGUUACUUUGAAAAAUUAGAGUGUUUAAAGCAGGCUCACGCUUGAAUACAUUAGCAUGGAAUAAUGAAAUAGGACGUUUGAUUCUAUUUUGUUGGUUUCUAGGAUCGACGUAAUGAUUAAUAGGGAUAGUUGGGGGCAUUAGUAUUCAAUUGUCAGAGGUGAAAUUCUUGGAUUUAUUGAAGACUAACUACUGCGAAAGCAUUUGCCAAGGAUGUUUUCAUUAAUCAAGAACGAAAGUUAGGGGAUCGAAGACGAUCAGAUACCGUCGUAGCCUUAACCAUAAACUAUGCCGACUAGGGAUCGGAUGAUGUUAAUUUUUUCAAUGACUCAUUCGGCGCCUUAC
rnacentral:rRNA from 1 species